GCGAUUUCAAAUACAAAGCACUAGAAGUAACCCUUUCCUCAAAGAAAGAAACAACCGCUGCGCAACAAAAUCCAGUAUGACUUCUCUAAAAAUCUCAAAGGGUUCACAGAGCAGCACUAUAGUAAUACUAACAUUGCCCUUCCUGUAACAUGAUGAUCCUGCUGUCCUGGACUGUAUAUGAUGAGCCUACACAUAAUCUCAGAACAGCUGUGGUAAUAACAGGAGACCCAUUUGGUGAGAGCAGCACUGCAGACUUUCCUGAUGGAGGAGCUCAUGGACCAUUUUCACAAGACUGAUGAUGUGUUUCAGCGGCCAUCAGCAUCAUAAAUCCUCACAUUUUUUUUAUAUUUUGAUUUUUAAAAAAUGAUGUGCAUUUAUAACACUAUACUUUGUAUUAUAUCACAUUUGUAUCAAAUUACAGAAAAAAUA